rnacentral:lncRNA from 1 species
GUCUUUAUCUUUCAGGACAGAGCCUUCUUUGAUAUCUGAUGACUCCUGAGGGUGGCUUAUUUAAUAACACAGGGGUUGUGGGGCCUGACUGGAAGCACCCGGCUCAGGCCUUGGGGUGCGGCUGAGGUGUGUUUUUGGGGGAGCCCUGACAUUAGCAGCUGUGGAUCUUUUCUCCUGUGCUUGUCGGAGGCCCAGAGAGUUUCCCUUCUCCUGUCUGGGCUGUGUCCUGGGAACUAGCAGAGAAGUGGGCUGGGCCCUGCAUGCACUGUUUCAGCGAAAUGCCUGUCCCUGAGGUGUGGCGAUUCACGGCUCUGCCCUGUCCUCCAGCAGGGAGAGAGCUGGUCACCUUGCUUGACUGCAGGAGCACCUGGGCCCGUGCAGGGCAGGACAGUGGCCUGGCCACUCUGCAAGCUGACUAAUAAUUCACUGCAACUAAUAACUUCAACUUCAAGCUUUUUGACUUUCUUAGAGGGCACUUUGUUCAACAGCACAGGGAAGAUGACAGCAAGAACACAUGCAUUUAAACUAACAACACAAGCGAGAGAGAAGCCGUCUUCCAGGGGAGACAGAGAGAGGCUUCAGAGCACCCCGUGCCUCCUGCCCGGACUUGUACUCCAAUUAUGCCCCCGCUCUCUGGGCAGGAAGAUUGUUUACAGCAGGUUCUCAAUCAGGGAGAUGGGGGAUUGAGCCAGGACGGAGGAUGUGGUGGGCGAGAACUCAGGUAUGAGGGGUAUCGGUCUUGGAUCCUGUACAGCAGCUAUCUUUUCCAGGAACAAGGUGAAAAGUGUUUCUUACUUAACAAAAUAAAUAGAAAUAAAAAGCAAAAACGAUAAAUAAUUAUGCGUACCUGCUUUCUUAUGGUUUGCACUCUGCCCUCUGGUUACGACAACCUGCUUUGUGGAAAUGAUGUCACGCCCAGCUCUGUCCACCGAGGCUGCCGCUGCCCACGCAGGGCCAGGCCUGGGCCAGGGCAGAACUGAGGGCAGCCGGAGAGCGGUUCCUCGGCUGCCACAUUUGGGCAAACAGUGGUUCUCUCCAACAAACUCCACCCUCAGCAAGACAGAAGAGCAAUCAGGGCGUUUAUGCCAC